UACGGAGGGUGCAAACGUUGCUCGGAAUCAUUGGGCGUAAAGCGCACGUAGGCGGCCUGAUAAGUCGGGUGUGAAAGCCCUGGGCUCAACCCAGGAAGUGCACUCGAAACUGUCAGGCUUGAAUAUGGAAGAGGGUCGCGGAAUUCCCGGUGUAGAGGUGAAAUUCGUAGAUAUCGGGAGGAACACCAGUGGCGAAGGCGGCGACCUGGGCCAAUAUUGACGCUGAGGCACGAAAGCGUGGGGAGCAAACAGG
rnacentral:rRNA from 1 species